AGAAUUAACAUAACUCUUGCUCCCAUUUUCUGCUCCAUCGCUGUCGGAACCCAAAAUGUCCCUCAGACAUUUUCAGAGGUUCCAGGCCUUGGUCAGAAGCAUUUUAGACCCUGGCAAGCAGGAGAAAACAGCUGUGAUUUUGAGUUUGAACCAUGGAAUGAAUUACCAACUUUGAGGGUGGAACAAGCAGUCACAGAGGGUUAGAUGGUAUAGUAAAAGUAGUCACAAAUUAGAGGGUAAAAUUUUUUAGUAUUGUACAGGGGGGUUUAACACCUGUACAGGGGGGUUUUACUUUGUACAGGGGGGUCAGGAGUUCUAAGAUGGAGAAAAGUGGGCCUGAUCCUGUUCUUCCUCCUUCUUCUUCCUUACCUCCAUGUUCUUGGUGAUGUUGGCACUCACAGAUUGGUUUAGAGUAGAAGAGCACAUUGUAACAUAGAUAGUAGGUAUUGGGGAAAAUCUAUAAACAUAUAAGACGUAAUAUAUGAUAUAAAAGAUAGCAGCAGCUUGGGGCGGGGAGAGAGACGACGGAGACACCGGACAGUGAGGGUGUCAGGAGUGUGUGUGUCUCUGCCUGGGCCGCUGACCAAAGCAGCCGCAGCAGGCGAGGACAAUCUUUUAGAUAACUUGCAAUAAACUGCCUUGAGAUCAAACAACAAGAGGCUGUGGAGUUUUUCUUUGGAAGCACGGGUUGGAGGAGAGACUUUACCACCACACGAGAGCCCCGAAUCAAUCCCGGGGUUCUCACACAUCGCUAAGCUUUUGAUCUGCCAAAUUAUUCCCACUAUGUGUAAAACCAUUCCACCUUGAUAUCCUUUAACAUGUACUACACCUAUCUCUUCAGGCAGUUUCAAUGAGUCUCUCAUUUAACAGUCCCAUUCCUUUUGAAUUGAGUAAAUCCCUUCCUUCCCAAAAUUCUCCAAAGGAGUGUACUACCUAAAAAGCAAACCUUGAAUCAUGAGCCCAUGGCCGGGGGCUCCGGGGGGUUUCUCGCCCUGCCCGAGAGCCGCUGCUGCUGCGGCCGUGGGGCAGAGGGGCAGCGAAAGGGGGUCCGGGGCGGGAGCGGAGGAGGAGGAGCGGGAGGAAGGGCAGCGGCAGAGAGGAAGGGGAGGAGCAGGAACGGGAGGAGCGGGCAGAGGAGCAGCAGGAGCGGGAGCAGUGGGAGGAAGGAGCAUUGCGGUGGCACGGCGAGCCCGCUGAGGCCGCAGCUCGGCUGGCCCCGGCAGCAUCGCAUUGCCCGGCGUGCCGCAGGAUUUCCCGUUCCCAAGCCUUAUCU
rnacentral:lncRNA from 1 species